rnacentral:rRNA from 1 species
UAGCAUAUCAAUAAGCGGAGGAAAAGAAACCAACAGGGAUUGCCCUAGUAACGGCGAGUGAAGCGGCAACAGCUCAAAUUUGAAAUCUGGCGUCUUCGGCGUCCGAGUUGUAAUUUGCAGAGGGCGCUUUGGUAUUGGCAGCGGUCCAAGUUCCUUGGAACAGGACGUCACAGAGGGUGAGAAUCCCGUACGUGGUCGCUAGCCUUUACCGUGUAAAGCCCCUUCGACGAGUCGAGUUGUUUGGGAAUGCAGCUCUAAAUGGGAGGUAAAUUUCUUCUAAAGCUAAAUACUGGCCAGAGACCGAUAGCGCACAAGUAGAGUGAUCGAAAGAUGAAAAGCACUUUGGAAAGAGAGUUAAAAAGCACGUGAAAUUGUUGAAAGGGAAGCGCUUGCAGCCAGACUUGCCUGUAGUUGCUCAUCCGGGUUUCUACCCGGUGCACUCUUCUAUAGGCAGGCCAGCAUCAGUUUGGGCGGUUGGAUAAAGGUCUCUGUCAUGUACCUCCUUUCGGGGAGAACUUAUAGGGGAGACGACAUGCAACCAGCCUGGACUGAGGUCCGCGCAUCUGCUAGGAUGCUGGCGUAAUGGCUGUAAGCGGCCCGUCUUGAAACACGGACCAAGGAGUCUAACAUCUAUGCGAGUGUUUGGGUGUCAAGCCCGAACGCGUAAUGAAAGUGAACGGAGGUGGGAACCUUUCGGGGUGCACCAUCGACCGAUCCUGAUGUCUUCGGAUGGAUUUGAGUAAGAGCAUAGCUGUUGGGACCCGAAAGAUGGUGAACUAUGCUUGAAUAGGGUGAAGCCAGAGGAAACUCUGGUGGAGGCUCGCAGCGGUUCUGACGUGCAAAUCGAUCGUCAAAUUUGGGCAUAGGGGCGAAAGACUAAUC